rnacentral:rRNA from 1 species
UACAGAGGUCCCAAGCGUUGUUCGGAUCCACUGGGCGUAAAGGGUGCGUAGGCGGUCGGGUAAGUCUGAUGUGAAAUCUCACAGCUUAACUGUGAAACUGCAUUGGAUACUAUCCGGCUAGAGGAAUGGAGGGGAGACUGGAAUACUUGGUGUAGCAGUGAAAUGCGUAGAUAUCAAGUGGAACACCAGUGGCGAAGGCGAGUCUCUGGACAUUUCCUGACGCUGAGGCACGAAAGCCAGGGGAGCAAACGGG